GACGAACGCUGGCGGCGUGCCUAAUACAUGCAAGUAGGACGCAGUUGCGAACGGGUGCGUAACGCGUAGGUAACUACCUAUAAGAGGGGGAUCACUAUUGGCAACGAUAGCUAAUACCGCAUACUAGUAGAUGGACCUGCGUGGUAUUAGCUAGUAGGUAGGGUAAUGGCCUACCAAGGCAACGAUACAUAGCAGACCUGCGAGGGUGAUCGGACAAACUGGUACUGGGAAACGGCCCAGACUCCUACGGGAGGCAGCAGUAGGGAAUCUUCGGGAAUGGGGGGAACCUUGACCGAGCAACGCCGCGGGAGUGAAGAAGGUUUUCGGAUCGUAAAGCUCUGUUGUUAAGGAAGCGGUACUUAACCAGAAAGGGACGGCUAACUACGUGCCAGCAGCCGCGGUAAUUC
rnacentral:rRNA from 1 species